GACAAGGUUCCAGGCCCUACGGGGUGCAGCAGGCGCGAAACCUCCGCAAUGUGAGAAAUCGCGACGGGGGGAUCCCAAGUGCCAUUCUUAACGGGAUGGCUUUUCAUUAGUGUAAAGAGCUUUUGGAAUAAGAGCUGGGCAAGACCGGUGCCAGCCGCCGCGGUAACACCGGCAGCUCUAGUGGUAGCAAUUUUUAUUGGGCCUAAAGCGUCCGUAGCCGGUUUAAUAAGUCUCUGGUGAAAUCCUGUAGCUUAACUGUGGGAAUUGCUGGAGAUACUAUUAGACUUGAGACCGGGAGAGGUUGGAGGUACUCCCAGGGUAGAGGUGAAAUUCUGUAAUCCUGGGAGGACCGCCUGUUGCGAAGGCGUCUAACUGGAACGGUUCUGACGGUGAGGGACGAAAGUUAGGGGCGCGAACCGGAUUAGAUACCCGGGUAGUCCUAACUGUAAACGAUGCGGACUUGGUGUUGGGGUGGCUUUGAGCUGCUCCAGUGCCGAAGGGAAGCUGUUAAGUCCGCCGCCUGGGAGGUACGGUCGCAAGACUGAAACUUAA
rnacentral:rRNA from 1 species